GUUAGAGUGGGGUAAUCCUAUUUAAAUUGCUUUCCUCCUCUAUAAACUCAUAUGUAAAAGGAGAAGCAUAUUGUUGCAACAAACUUGACUACCGAUAUAUUAGAAUAUCAUAAAAAUAAAUAAAUAAAUAAAACACCACAUUAUUUAACUUAAGUAACAAAUGUUUAACUGCUCUGGCAAAGGAAACAUAUCCCCAACUGUCAUCCAACAUUGCAGUCCAUAAAAUUCAUUAUAAAGCAACGAAAGGAAGGACAUGCCAAAAGGAUAAACCCCAUGAAUGAGCUAUAAGUUCCAAGUCACGCCAUUCUUGACAUCAAAGGUUGUAGAAUUUUUUAGGUCAAUGGGCUGAGGGCCAGCUCCAAAAGGUCUCAGUGUUAAUUAGAGUGGGGUAAUCCUAUUUAAAUUGCUUUCCUCCCCGAUGUGGGAUGUCUGGCUUCCAACACGCCUCUGGCUCCUCCCACAUCUGGCUUCCAACACGCCUCUGGCUCCUCGAUGUGGGAUGUCUGGCUUCCAACACGCCUCUGGCUGUGCACGUGAGCCCAUCACCUGGCUUUGAUACCAUGUAGAAUUUUUCAAGUCGUUGAGCCGAGAGCUUACUCCAACAAUACCGAUACUGUCCCCACUUUACCACCUGCCCAAUCAGCCAAGUAUGAGAUUUUAUCAUAAAAAAUCUCGAUAUUAAUUAAAAUAGGGUAAUCCUAUUUAAAUUACUUUUCUCCUCUCCCUCUUACCGAUGUGGGAUUGUUGUGUUUGGCUCAUAUACUUAUGAGUUGGCAACAAUUUUGAUAGUGUAACUUUCUGAAUGCUACAUUGAAAUGGCAGCAGCCAAUGGUGACUUUGUGUUUGGCUUUCGGUUGUGGCAUGGAAGUCUUGUUUCAAGAGAAGACAUGUUCACUGCCACAAGAAAAGUUGGAAGCAAGUCUUGACUUUGUGUUUGCUUGCACGCAAUUGUGCAUGUUUUAUUUUCUAUGCAUUAAAUGGCAAAUGGAGAAAAAGUUGUACUCUAUAGGCUAGGUAUAGACUUUGGUGCAUGCUAGGUAGGCCAGGUGACAUUGAUGUCAUGUGAACUUAAGACUUUUUGGUCUUGGAUGUUGGCAUGGUUGCUAUUGUAUGCCUAUAACUAGAUGCAAUAUUUGUGCAUUUAGUAUGCUUGGGCUCUCCCAUGGGAAAGGUUGAACAUGGGUUGAGAGAAAAGCAAGAGAGCUAGAGUGAAAAGUAUUUCAGUGAAAGAACUCUUGGGGUAGAGUGAGGCUCUUGGAAAAAUUCUGUGAGUGGGUGUACAAGGGAUUUAAGAUUGGAUUAUGUUAAUUUAACUCAUGUAUAACUUGUACUGUUAUUCUCAUAAUGAAGAGUAAUAUCUCUCCGGGAAGUCAAUGAAAUUCAAGGUUUGGAUGGCACUGCAACCCACUUGCGGUAUUCUGCAGGAUCCCACAAUGGGUAGAUAUUUUUGGGCAGCGAGAAAAGCAUGGGCAGCAGAGGAAGCAAGGAGACGCGCAGCCUGUGCCGCACGGGCGAGGAGCCGCUGACGCAGAUCAACAAAGGUGGGUGUUGUGCUAGGAUAGCACCAAACCAAUUGGAAGCCAACUCAAACUAACCGACAUGAAACGUAUCAAAUGAAAUGCAAGAACAAAAAUAAAAGACACCAAGAUUUAACCAGGUUUUUCAACAGUCAAGUGUAAUUGGAAUAAGUCGUCGAAGCAGUAGAAGCUCACCCAAUAAUCCACUAUCAAUCAAAUGAGAGUGUUUACAAAGUGUUAGCAAUCUCACAACCCAACGCCUCAAUACACCCAUUAACUCUCACUCGCCAAAAAAACAAAUAGAGAAAGAAAUAUAAUGAAUAAUUUCCUCUCUAUACAAAGCUCAAAG